GAAUUAUCUUGUUCGGAUUAUUAAGGAGAGCAAAUGUUUUAAGGAUAAUCUGCUGUUCUUAAUAUUCUGAACAGUAAUGC